rnacentral:tRNA from 1 species
GCGGUGGUAGCUCGGUUGGGUAAGCACCCGCUUCUCACGCCAGAGAUGCGGGUUCGAAUCCCGGCGGUGACA